rnacentral:rRNA from 1 species
AGCAGCCGCGGUAAUUCCAGCUCCAAUAGCGUAUAUUAAAGUUGUUGCAGUUAAAAAGCUCGUAGUUGAAUUUCGGGGUUAGUAGGUUGGUCAUGCCUCUGGUAUGUACUGAUCUCACUGAUUCCUCCUUCCUUAUGAACCGUAAUGCCAUUAAUUUGGUGUUGCGGGGAAUUUGGACUGUUACUUUGAAAAAAUUAGAGUGUUUAAAGCAAGCUAACGCUUGAAUACAUUAGCAUGGAAUAAUGAAAUAGGACGUUCGAUCUUAUUUUGUUGGUUUCUAGGAUUGACGUAAUGAUUAAUAGGGAUAGUUGGGGGCAUUAGUAUUCAAUUGUCAGAGGUGAAAUUCUUGGAUUUAUUGAAGACUAACUACUGCGAAAGCAUUUGCCAAGGAUGUUUUCAUUAAUCAAGAACGAAAGUUAGGGGAUCGAAGACGAUCAGAUACCGUCGUAGUCUUAACCAUAAACUAUGCCGACUAGGGAUCGGAUGAUGUUAAUUUUUAAUGACUCAUUCGGCGCCUUAC